UAUGCGAGUUUUCCUUGUUGACGCAUUUUCUCACGCCAUUUCUCUCUGCCUCCUUUUUUUUUUUUUUCUUUUUGGCGUUUUACAAAAAACAUCAGAAAUAAUAUAAAGAAAAAGACGCUACUCGCGCUUUUUAUUUCUCCACUCUCUCUGGUUUACUUCAAAAACCAGAAAAUGGUGUGGGACUUGAUUUUCACUGUUCUCUCUUUACUCCUUCACUUUGGCCUUCUCGCUAUGGUCUUCCAUGAGCUUUUGUGCUUAACUGACUUGGAAGCUGACCACAUGAAUCUUUUUGAAGCAACAGCUACCAUUAACCAGUGGGUUAUGCCUGAGUUUGUUUUGCAAGGGUUUAUCUGCAUUCUUUUCCUCUUGACACGUCACUGGCUCAUGUUUCUCUUGGCACUUCCCCUUACUUGCUACCAUUUCAUGCGGUUUUGGAAACGGGAGCAUCUUAUUGAUGUCACUGAAGUUUUCAGAAAUAUUAACUAUGAGAAGAAGUAUAGGAUAAUCAAGCUUGGUAUCUACUUGACCUUCUUCAUCAUUCUGAUGUUCAGAAUUAUUGCAGGCACCUUAUCAAUUUACAGAUCUGAAGGAUUAGACUAUCGUUCUUCUUUUCACGUAUUCUAGAAACUUCAUUCUAAUCUUUCCCGGAUAUGGAAUUUUUUCUGCACUUUAAAAUAGGGUUACAUUGGUUGGUUUCAACGUUCUAAGAAAUGCAGAUGACGAGUGAAGACAUUCAUGUAUUUUGACCACCAAGGCUUCAGUAAUAUGAUAGCUGCAUAUAAGUGGGUUUAAAUCACUGAUCCAUGUGAAAGAAAGUGAAUCUUAGCAUACUUAAUUACUAGUAGUAAGAUAAACUUCAUCUAACUGCUUACUGACAUGGUUAGUUUUGAUUUCUGAAGUGUUCAAUUCUGUGACAGAGAAGAGAUUGCUUGUAGGAGGAGUUUUAUAGUUAGGCAGUUUAAACAAACAUGAUCAAUUGAAGAAAGAGUAUUGGUAUCAGCUUAUGAUUUGAUUUACA